rnacentral:rRNA from 1 species
GACGAACGCUGGCGGCGUGCUUAACACAUGCAAGUCGAACGGAAAGGCCCUGCUUUUGUGGGGUGCUCGAGUGGCGAACGGGUGAGUAACACGUGAGUAACCUGCCCUUGACUUUGGGAUAACUUCAGGAAACUGGGGCUAAUACCGGAUAGGAGCUCCUGCUGCAUGGUGGGGGUUGGAAAGUUUCGGCGGUUGGGGAUGGACUCGCGGCUUAUCAGCUUGUUGGUGGGGUAGUGGCUUACCAAGGCUUUGACGGGUAGCCGGCCUGAGAGGGUGACCGGCCACCUUGGGCCUGAGAUACGGCCCAGACUCCUACGGGAGGCAGCAGUGGGGAAUAUUGCACAAUGGGCGGAAGCCUGAUGCAGCAACGCCGCGUGCGGGAUGACGGCCUUCGGGUUGUAAACCGCUUUCGCCUGUGACGAAGCGUGAGUGACGGUAAUGGGUAAAGAAGCACCGGCUAACUACGUG